rnacentral:rRNA from 1 species
UACAGAGGUCUCGAGCGUUGUUCGGAUUCAUUGGGCGUAAAGGGUGCGUAGGUGGCGCUGUAAGUCGGGUGUGAAAUCCUGAGGCUUAACCUCGGAACUGCAUUCGAUACUGCGGCGCUUGAGGACUGGAGAGGAGACUGGAAUUCAUGGUGUAGCAGUGAAAUGCGUAGAGAUCCGGAGGAACCCCAGAGGCGAAGGCGGCGUCCUGGCUCGCAUCUGACGCUCAGACACGACAGCAUGGGGAGCGAACGGG